rnacentral:rRNA from 1 species
GGCUACUUGUUGACGGAAAUUGCCUUAAUCGCAGUGGUUUGAACCGGGCAAAAUUCGUAACAAGGUUUCCGUAGGUGAACCUGCGGAAGGAUCAUCACUGAGUAUGCGAGCUUGUCUU